rnacentral:siRNA from 1 species
AAUCCCCUUAGAACUUGCACCAGA